rnacentral:rRNA from 1 species
GAUGAACGCUGGCGGCGUGCCUAAUACAUGCAAGUCGAGCGAACAGACGAGGAGCUUGCUCCUCUGACGUUAGCGGCGGACGGGUGAGUAACACGUGGAUAACCUACCUAUAAGACUGGGAUAACUUCGGGAAACCGGAGCUAAUACCGGAUAAUAUAUUGAACCGCAUGGUUCAAUAGUGAAAUACGGUUUUGCUGUCACUUAUAGAUGGAUCCGCGCCGCAUUAGCUAGUUGGUAAGGUAACGGCUUACCAGGGCAACGAUGCGUAGCCGACCGGAGAGGGGGAUCGGCGACACGAGAAGGGAGACACGGACAAGACGCCUACGAGAGGGAGCAGUAGGGAAUCGUCCGCAAUGGGCGAAAGCCUGGCGGAGCAACGCCGAGUGAGUUAUAAAGGUCUUCGGAGCGUAAAACUGUGUUAUUAGGGAAGAACAAAUGUGGAAGUAACUAUGCACGUCUUGACGGUACCUAAUCAGAAAGCCACGGCUAACUACGUG